rnacentral:rRNA from 1 species
AUUGAACGCUGGCGGCAGGCCUAACACAUGCAAGUCGAACGGUAACAGGAAGAAGCUUGCUUCUUUGCUGACGAGUGGCGGACGGGUGAGUAAUGUCUGGGAAACUGCCUGAUGGAGGGGGAUAACUACUGGAAACGGUAGCUAAUACCGCAUAACGUCGCAAGACCAAAGAGGGGGACCUUCUGGCCUCUUGCCAUCGGAUGUGCCCAGAUGGGAUUAGCUAGUAGGUGGGGUAACGGCUCACCUAGGCGACGAUCCCUAGCUGUUCUGAGAGGAUGACCAGCCACACUGGAACUGAGACACGGUCCAGACUCCUACGGGAGGCAGCAGUGGGGAAUAUUGCACAAUGGGCGCAAGCCUGAUGCAGCCAUGCCGCGUGUAUGAAGAAGGCCUUCGGGUUGUAAAGUACUUUCAGCGGGGAGGAAGGGAGUAAAGUUAAUACCUUUGCUCAUUGACGUUACCCGCAGAAGAAGCACCGGCUAACUCCGUG